UGAGGAACAUGACCUUCGGCGGGGGAUAGCCGGCCCAACGGCCGGGUAAUACCGCGUACGACCACAUGGGGACAUCCCUGAGUGGUGAAAGCAGCAAUGCGCCGAUGGAGUGCCUCGCGGCCUAUCAGCUAGUUGGUGGGAUAACGGCUCACCAAGGCGACGACGGGUAGCUGGUCUGAGAGGAUGGCCAGCCNNUG
rnacentral:rRNA from 1 species